GCUGAAGAGUGUUUCUCUUAGAGACCGUACAAUCAAGAGACCUGUUGUUGCUUCUCAGUUAAAUAUCACACCUAGCAUUUCUGUUUCCUGACCGAGGGUUUUUUUUUAUCAGUCUGAUGGUUCCCAGGUUUGAUACACUGCAUCUGAGGAAGAACCAGAUACUGGACUUGACAGAGGUCUACAAACCCUGCAUGACAAGUGCUUUCUCCGUGCUACGAUGGCGAGAACAGAGGUGCCAGAUCAGUUUCCAUGACUCCCCUGCAGAAUGCCAGCGAUGAGCUGCAGUGAACAUGACAGUGUGGUGGGUUUGGUCUGUUAUUAUUGUGACUUCCUGUGGCUAACCACCAUGCUGCGGGUGUGCACACACACACACACACACACACACAAACCAUCAGACACCUGAGAUGUUCUCGGAGUCCUGACGACUGAUAUAACAAAACCUGACAAAGCUUUUUCCUUUGAAAGUGUCCAUGGGAGAAUGUUUAAGCAGGCAGAACGCUAA
ensembl:lncRNA